rnacentral:rRNA from 1 species
CCUAUCAGCUUUAGACGGUAGGGUAUUCGGCCUACCGUGGCAAUGACGGGUAACGGGGAAUUAGGGUUCGAUUCCGGAGAGGGAGCCUGAGAAACGGCUACCACAUCUAAGGAAGGCAGCAGGCGCGCAAAUUACCCAAUCCUAAUACAGGGAGGUAGUGACAAGAAAUAACAAUACAGGACUUUUUGGUUUUGUAAUUGGAAUGAGUUAAGUAUAAACCCCUUUACAAGUAUCAAUUGGAGGGCAAGUCUGGUGCCAGCAGCCGCGGUAAUUCCAGCUCCAAUAGCGUAUAUUAAAGUUGUUGCAGUUAAAAAGCUCGUAGUUGGAUUUCUGUUAAUAAUUUAUAUAAAAUAUUUUGAUGAAUAUUUAUAUAAUAUUAACAUAAUUCAUAUUAC